rnacentral:rRNA from 1 species
GAUGAACGCUGGCGGCGUGCCUAAUACAUGCAAGUCGAGCGAACGGACGAGAAGCUUGCUUCUCUGAUGUUAGCGGCGGACGGGUGAGUAACACGUGGAUAACCUACCUAUAAGACUGGGAUAACUUCGGGAAACCGUAGCUAAUACCGGAUAAUAUUUUGAACCGCAUGGUUCAAAAGUGAAAGACGGUCUUGCUGUCACCUAUAGAUGGAUCCGCGCUGCAUUAGCUAGUUGGUAAGGUAACGGCUUACCAAGGCAACGAUGCAUAGCCGACCUGAGAGGGUGAUCGGCCACACUGGAACUGAGACACGGUCCAGACUCCUACGGGAGGCAGCAGUAGGGAAUCUUCCGCAAUGGGCGAAAGCCUGACGGAGCAACGCCGCGUGAGUGAUGAAGGUCUUCGGAUCGUAAAACUCUGUUAUUAGGGAAGAACAUAUGUGUAAGUAACUGUGCACAUCUUGACGGUACCGAAUCAGAAAGCCACGGCUAACUACGUG